CUCACACCCAACUAAACUUGAUGGGACAACUGUUAUCGAUGUGAUGCACACAGCUCUUCUACUACAUUCAGAAGGUCCCUCACCCUCGUGGCUUGGCCAAAGGCACAAACAAUGCAAAGAUAACAAAGGAUGAUGCCCAUUGGUCUAGAAGAAUCUUUGGCUCCUUCAGGCACAUAAAAGGCGACAGAUAUUCAAGGAACUGACUUCAUUGCAAUGAGAAUAAACCACCUCUAAAA
rnacentral:lncRNA from 1 species